AAGACUAUACUUCCAGGGAUCAUUUCUAUAGUUUGUUACUAGAAAAGUUUUUCUGACUGUGUAGAGUACCAGAAACCAUGAGAAGGAGAUGCAGUGUUCUCUCCUGAGGGUGAAGCUGGCUUGGGUGUUGCUCUUAGGCAGCUGCCUUUUGCUACUGAUGAUCAUUCUGCUCUGCCUCAGACUAGAGAGCUGGCUCAGUGGU
rnacentral:snoRNA from 1 species